GUGGGGAAUAUUGGACAAUGGACGCAAGUCUGAUCCAGCCAUGCCGCGUGAAGGAUUAAGGUCCUCUGGAUUGUAAACUUCUUUUAUAAGGGACGAAAAAAGGCUUUUCUAAGUCGUCUGACGGUACCUUAUGAAUAAGCACCGGCUAACUCCGUGCCAGCAGCCGCGGUAAUACGGAGGGUGCAAGCGUUAUCCGGAUUCACUGGGUUUAAAGGGUGCGUAGGCGGGCAGGUAAGUCAGUGGUGAAAUCCUAGAGCUUAACUCUAGAACUGCCAUUGAUACUAUCUGUCUUGAAUAUUGUGGAGGUAAGCGGAAUAUGUCAUGUAGCGGUGAAAUGCUUAGAUAUGACAUAGAACACCUAUUGCGAAGGCAGCUUACUACGCAUAUAUUGACGCUGAGGCACGAAAGCGUGGGGAUCAAACAGGAUUAGAUACCCGGGUAGUCC
rnacentral:rRNA from 1 species